rnacentral:lncRNA from 1 species
CCAAGCCACAUGAAGAAGCCAUGUGGCCUCAGUUGACACUCCCACCUGAAUCUAGCCUUUGAGUUAAAUACAGAUACAUAGAAAUAUAUAGAUUUUGUGGGGUUGGUUUUAAAAUGAUAAGUGAUAUUAACUUGUCAUAUUACUUCUAAAAUUUUUAAAUUUGCAAUAUAUUUUUUGGAAAUUUUUGUCUAUUAGUACAUAAAGAUCUACUCAAUUCUUUUAAGGUGCUGAACAGUUGUCUAUUGUGUGGAUACUGUGUAGUUAAUUUAAACAUUUACAUAU